rnacentral:lncRNA from 1 species
AGCACACCGCAAGCAAAGGGUAUUCUUCAUAUGCCUUCAAACCGUGAAUUGUCGCACAAGAUCGUGAUGGCGGCCGGGCAGGCUGCCAUGGCUCCUGCUCAGGUUUUACCACUGUCCAUGAAACCUCCAGCACUGUCCAUGAAACCUCCAGCGCCACCGUCGGGGACGGAGAAGGAAGCCGCGACGAGCAGCACGACACUGAAUCUUUAGAAAACAUCCAUGGUGCAGGUGACUGCUUGCAUUGCAUGCAGGCCGUCAAUCUCUGAUUAC